rnacentral:rRNA from 1 species
AUUGAACGCUGGCGGCAUGCCUUACACAUGCAAGUCGAACGGCAGCACGGGAGCAAUCCUGGUGGCGAGUGGCGAACGGGUGAGUAAUGUAUCGGAACGUACCUUUCAGUGGGGGAUAACGUAGCGAAAGUUACGCUAAUACCGCAUAUUCUGUGAGCAGGAAAGCAGGGGGAUCGCAAGACCUUGCGCUGAUUGAGCGGCCGAUAUCAGAUUAGCUAGUUGGUGAGGUAAAGGCUCACCAAGGCGACGAUCUGUAGCGGGUCUGAGAGGAUGAUCCGCCACACUGGAACUGAGACACGGUCCAGACUCCUACGGGAGG